UCAGAGAUGUAGUGUCUUGAUGU
rnacentral:miRNA from 1 species